AGAGAUUCCACCCCCACCCCCUCCACCAAGACCGCUUAGCUCCUUUUGAUACGUGAAUUCUUUAAACCCAAAAGGAAAAGAAGACCACAAAUGAAACAGUAUUUGGAAGACAUUCUGGAGGAGGAGGAAGAAGGUGUGUUUAAGACAUCAAUGUUUCCCUGCCAUACCUCCAGUAAUAUUUGCAAACAAGGUCAGAUUUGAGGAUGAGGGUGGAGGAGAAUUAUCUCCAACAGCGAAGCUCCAGAUAGGACUAGAAAAGACAAGACCGGAG
rnacentral:lncRNA from 1 species